CGCUGAAACACUGGUUCCCUUACGAUCACUGAAGUUAAGCAACGUGAAGUCAGGUCAGUACCUAAAUGGGUAACCGUUUGAGAAUACCAGGUGCAGUAAG